rnacentral:rRNA from 1 species
UACAGAGGGGGCAAGCGUUGUUCGGAAUUACUGGGCGUAAAGGGCGCGUAGGCGGCCUGAUAAGUAGGGGGUGAAAUCCUGCGGCUUAACCGCAGGGCUGCCUUCUAAACUGUCGGGCUAGAGCACGGUAGAGGCAGAUGGAAUUCCCGGUGUAGCGGUGGAAUGCGUAGAGAUCGGGAGGAACACCAAUGGCGAAGGCAGCUCGCUGGGACGUUACUGACGCUGAGACGCGAAAGCGUGGGGAGCAAACAGG